rnacentral:rRNA from 1 species
GAUGAACGCUGGCGGCGUGCCUAAUACUUGCAAGUCGAACGAAACUUCUUUAUCACCGAGUGCUUGCACUCACCGAUAAAGAGUUGAGUGGCGAACGGGUGAGUAACACGUGGGCAACCUGCCCAAAAGAGGGGGAUAACACUUGGAAACAGGUGCUAAUACCGCAUAACCAUAGUUACCGCAUGGUAACUAUGUAAAAGGUGGCUAUACUACCGCUUUUGGAUGGGCCCGCGGCGCAUUAGCUAGUUGGUAGGGUAAAGGCUUACCAAGGCAAUGAUGCGUAGCCGAAUUGAGAGGUUGAUCGGCCACAUUGGGACUGAGACACGGCCCAAACUCCUACGGGAGGCAGCAGUAGGGAAUCUUCCACAAUGGGCGAAAGCCUGAUGGAGCAACGCCGCGUGGGUGAAGAAGGUCUUCGGAUCGUAAAACCCUGUUGUUAGAGAAGAAAGUGCGUGAGAGUAACUGUUCACGUUUCGACGGUAUCUAACCAGAAAGCCACGGCUAACUACGUG